CACUAGAGAGCACGUCAUCGACAUCAAAGACUUAGGCAUUCAGAGGAGCCUUUUUUUUGGAAUGCAGCAGGUUAAGCCGACCCAUUUUUCCCGACCAGAAUUUCAGAUUAACAGAGCAGGGAAAACAGUCAUUUUUCACAAACUACUAGGCUAAUGCAGGAGUCAUAUUCAUUGUCAUUCUCUCUACUGAUUCCUUAUUUUUUAGUGGUCUCAUCCCAUGACGAGAACGCAUAAUGGUUGAAAAACGACAGACGCUACGCGAAUUAGGAUCUAGGCUAUUGUACAGGAAUAUAAUGAAUUUAAUGACGUAAAAUGAGUAAUGAAGCAGUAGAAAUAGUGUCCCUGGGCUAAAUUCCCAUUUUCUUGCACUUAUACAUCAUGCCACAAGGUGUCAGCCUACUCUAUGUUGAAGAGUAUGAUAAGAGCACUGUCAUAGUAUCUGAUGCAUUCGCAAGGCUAAUAAUACCUCUGACACUCCUAUAGGAGACGACAUGGCCAUCUUUAUACAGUGUGGGAUCAAAGGAAUGUCUUGUAUGGAUCCCACCGUCUUCCUUGACACCAAAGGACAUUAUUUCAUACCAGUCUUUUCUUUUCUGAGAUGUCCCUAGCCAUCCAGUCAGUCAGCCAGCCAGCCAGCCACAGCCAGACAUUCAGCAGUGUUACCAGACAGGCAUUCAGCAGUGUUACCAGACAGGCAUUCAGCAGUGUUACCAGCCAGACAUUCAGCAGUGUUACCAGACAGGCAUUCAGAAGUGUUACCAGACAGGCAUUCAGCAGUGUUACCAGACAGGCAUUCAGCAGUGUUACCAGACAGGCAUUCAGCAGUGUUACCAGCCAGACAUUCAGCAGUGUUACCAGCCAGACAUUCAGCAGUGUUACCAGCCAGACAUUCAGCAGUGUUACCAGACAGGCAUUCAGCAGUGUUACCAGAUAGGCAUUCAGCAGUGAAUACACUAGGGAUGGGUCAUGUUGCAGCAUGAGCCUUCUAACCCAAUGUGAAGGGACUUAGUCCCCAGCCGAUCCAACCUGUCAUCUGUAGUAGGGAGCAUUCCCAGGCAGGAGGUGACACAGACAGCAUCAAACAAGUAGAUGAAGACUAGAGCCAUGAAACAGGGUCUGUGUGUGGACAUCUAGAAUUCAAUUAGGAUUGGGACAAAGGUUGACACUGUUUCUGACUCUCUCCCAUUUGAGUCAGUGUGCUUGGUUGUUAGUGGUUUGUGUGUGGGUGGGUGUAUUUUUCUGACUGUACAAUGCGUGUAGUGUGUACAUCUGUAGGUGUGUGGCUUUGUGUUUGAAUAGGUUGGAGUGUGUGGAUUCAGGGCACAGUGUGAGGGGUGUCUGAGUGUGUGGGUGUGGGGCUUUGUAUAGAUGUAGGGUUGAGUGUGGUGAAGUGGGUUGUGACGUGCGAGUUGCAGUCUGUGAGAGAUAGAGUGUUCAUUCUACUAAGCCUCACUGCAAAGAAAAUAUAUGGUAUAAUUAAGCAAAAAGGCCAGAGGAGGUGUGGUAUAUGGCCAAUAUACCACAGUUAAGGGCUGUUUUUAAGUAUGACGCAACGCGGAGUGCCUGGAUACAGCCCUGAGCCGUGGUAUAUUGGCCAUAUACCACAAACCCUUGAGGUGUCUUAUUGCUAUUAUAAACUGGUUACCAACAUAAUUAGAGAAGUAAAAAUAAGUUUUGUCAUACCCGUGGUAUACGGUCUGAUUUACCACGGCUGUCAGCCAAUUAGCAUUCGGGGCUCGAGCCACGCAGGUUAUAAUGUCAAAUUAUGACUUAUUCUAAGACCUUUCAUGAGGACGAAUAUAAACACAUUCAAUAGAUCUCUGAAAGAGAGACUGAGGUUGAGAGGAGGAGAUGAAGAGAAUGGAAUCAGGCUUGAGGAGAGAGUGAAGGUGGGAGGAAUAGAAGUAGUGAAUUAGACAGUAGUAAGACAAUAGAUAACAGCACCCUGGGAGCACUGUGACAGGAUCAGUGCCUCUGCUCCUCUGGCCCUGUGGCUGAACACACACACACACAGCUGGUGGAGGGACAGAGGACAGAGCCUGUGUCCUUGCUUGUGUCCUGGCCUGUGUCCUGGUUUGUGUACCCGGGCCUGUGUCCUGGUUUGUGUACCCGGGCCUGUGUCCUGGUUUGUGUACCCGGGCCUGUGUCCUGGUUUGUGUACCCGGGCCUGUGUCCUGGCCUGUGUCCUGGCCUGUGUCCUGGUUUGUGUACCCGGGCCUGUGUCCUGGCCUGUGUCCUGGCCUGUGUCCGGCAUGUGUCCU
rnacentral:lncRNA from 13 species